CGGUUGAUCUGUUUAAUUCAUUUGAUACAUUUAGAGCUAAUUAUAUUUAUUUUAUUUUUUUUUUGUCGUAAAAACUGAAAGCAAAAUGGGAAGGAGGAGUGAAAGCCGCGGUGGAUGUGCUUGGUUUAAACCUCGACAGCGCCACCUUUCGGCAAAGGUCGGUUUAAUCUUGAUCCAUGGCCAGUUUUGUUGAUCAACCCGCUUUCUUGUCGUUGUUGUAUUCAUGCUGCUGACUACACCAUUCUUGCACCUUGGAAGAUCAUUUAAAGCUGGAUAAAACAAAUAAGAUUUGUUUUCUUUUCCCAUAAAGUUUCUUAUUUGGCCAAUCUGUGUAGGCCCUUCAUUCACAAGCUCUGUUUAUUUUUCUUUAAAAUUUUCAUUGCGAAAUAAAAAACAGCUUGUAAAGUCAGGCUAAAAAUACAUUUUCAUUUAUUUUGUGUAGUGCUAUUCCUUUCCCCCCUUAUCUCCCAUCCUAGAUAGUCAUAUUCCUUGAGCACUAGAAAUUAUGAGGUAUUAACAGAUGCUUCUCGUUUAUUCUGCCAACGUGCAUAACACUCUCUAGGCAAAGAGCUGGAGCACCAAUGCUGUACCUGACCAUGUAAGUAUGUGCCAUGUAUUGGGAGCCAGAAUUGUUUAUGUGAUUUAAAACAAUCUCUCGUACCAAUCAGUACUUUUUCAGCAUGCUUACAAUGUUCCUGGUUCUGUAUUAGAAAUAUUCCUAGAUUACUGAUAAAACUAAAGAAUUUCAUGGGAUAUGGGAAUAAUUUCUCUUAUCUAAAGGGAAGGAAAACACAAACAUGCAGUUGAAACUACAUGAGAUUGCAAGGGGUAGCUGUCUGUACAUGUUUUAUGUUGAUUGUUCAUAGCUUGCUCAUUUUAUGUACACUUUUGUCUCAGUUUAAAAAUCAAUAUAGAUAUUUAUGAUGGAAAUAUCCAUCUAAAAGAAAUAAAUACUUGAAACAAAGAUUUUUAGCCAGCUGUGUAGAGGAAUUUAUCAUUUAUAACUUGAACCAUUAAGUGAAGCUAUAUGGUAUUUACACUGAAAUCAACGGAAAGUGAUAAAUACAAAAUCCAGUGAAAACUCAUGCACAAAGUUCAUUUCAAAAUUCUACAGAGACAAAGAUAAUAUCAGUUCAAAGGUGGGAAAUGAAGGACUUGUGUCUGGCAAAGGAUAUUUGAAAUGUCUCAACAAUCUAAUAAAUGUGUACACUGUAUUUAUAUAUAUAGUCAAGAAGUCAGUCAUUUGCUACCUCCUUUGUACUGUAUUAAGAUGUUUCAACCCACAUUAGGUAGCAUUGACAAAAGCUUGCAAUACUGACAUGAAAAGAGUGAGUUUUAUUGGACAUUUCUUUCAGGAAUUCAGGUGUCACUAAUAGGGGGGGAAAACAUAAUUGGGGUGGUGGAGUUUCUUAGCUGUUAAGGGAUUACCUGUUCUCUUUUAUUAAAAGAUCUGAACUUGAGUGAAUUUUAAACAAAUCUCUGUUUUAAUGUCUUGAAAUUAGAAAUGGAACAGCCUGAUUAAUUAUUUGUGAUACACUGUCUUGUGUGGGACCUGCUGAGCAGCCUUCGUUUGGCUUAUUCAGCAUAAAUAAUAAAGUACAAUAAUUGCUCAUAGUAAAUAAUGUAAAUUUCAUAGUAAAUUUCAAAUAACUUACAAAAUGCAUAGCUCCACUUAUGUGUCAUGAAGGCUCAUUACAAUACAAAGUGGCUGGUUUGCCAUUGCCUGUCCAGCUGUUUAUACCAGGGCAAAAGUGUGAGGGCAUGUGUAAAUUUUACACCCACUCUGCACUCUUAUUGCCCUUGUGUAUCAAUGACUGCACAAGGUGCAGGGAGCAGAGAGCAGGUCUAAAGUGCUUUAUGGCACACUGCACAAGAGUGAAUGGUACUAAAAUAGUGACAGACCCUGGUCUAGUGAUGAAAGCUGAAGAUUAGAAGUCAAGUUCCUUGGGUUCUAUCCCUUGCCAUUGACUUAGGGUAAGACAUUCACAACUUCUGCUUAUCCGUCUAUAAAAUGGGUAUAAUACUUACCUAAAUUGCCACAGUGCUGGGAGGUUUAACGUUAGCUUAAAAUCUUAUGAGACACCCCACCCGCUCAGAUGGAAGGUGGGGCACAUACGAACAAGGUUUUAUAUCAGAGUUUAGAUUGACCAGCAUGUACAAAAAAUACAUACGGAUUUUACAUUACCUCCAAUCCUUAAUUAUCCCUAUGGGUGUGGCAUGUAUCUUCUGAGCAUGUUUUGGGCAUUAGGAGGUAUAACUGAUACUGGGCAGUUUUAGGACUAACAACUCUGCCCACUGAACUGAAUGGAGUUGAGGGUUAAUGAUGUGAAGCCUGAUUUCAGUAUGUAAAGUGCCCUUGUUGGAAUGGUCUUCUUGACUGUGAAGACACAACAGCGUCGGUCCGAGAAUCUGGCAGCUGUACUGUUUUCACAACAUAUGGAAACUGUACUUCUAAUAAUUCAGUUACAUUUCAUUUGGUUUGAUAUUUUAACCUGAUUUUGGAGGGGGGGAGCUAUUAUUCCAUAGAGAUUAAAAUAACCUGUAAUGUGCUGUAUUGCUUUUUAAGGUCUUGAUGCAAAGAAGCAUGUGAAUAUAUGUUAGGUGAUCUGAUUUCCUUUGGUGUCAUUAUUUAAUGUCUUUAGCAACAAUGAAAAGGAAACCCAAGAUCAGUUUUUCCCUGCCCUCCCUCUUAUGAAUUAGCUUGCUGUCAUAGGAGUUCUAGACAAGAUUCAGUUCAGAUUCGCUUCCAUCUGGAACCCAUGGCUGUGCAAUAACUUUAAUCCUUAACAAAAAGGAAAUGAUAGAAAAACCCAUGAAAUUAAUUUUCACACCUGCAGUUGGAAUUAAUAGUGGCAACCAGAGUGGCAUCCUAUUUCAGUUCCCUGGAGGUGACUAACAAUCCUGGUCAUUAAUAAAAUACCAACCAACAUAGGAAUUUACCAUCUGAGGGUUCUGCCAUGAAAAACAAAUGAUCCCAAGGUACUCCUGCACAAUAGAAAAUGGCUUUAGUCAUGUAUUAGUCAUUUUAUCACAAGACUGUAUUUUUGCACUAGGGGUUUGUUCUCGGAUGUUAGAAGAGAAUAGAUUGGAACAACAGUAUUUGUCUUGGUAAUUUGUAGGUAGGUUUUGAUUAUGUUUAAGCUUUCUAACAUAAGAAGGUUGGUGGAUGAUUAAGUGCAAGAAACCAAAUUCUGCAAGUGUGUUUUAUUUUUGGUGUGGCUCUGUGGUAUUUUAUUUCUGUCCAGGCCUAGUCAGUCUCUGCAUGCAUGCGACAUGAGCAUUAAAGGGUGGCACUUCCACUUUGGCUAGAUAAGAGAGGAGGAGGUCUGCAAACUAAAAUGCUGUUAGAAAUUUUAUGCAUUUCUGCUUUUCUCUCCUAAUUGCAAGGGAUGAGAUGCAUUGAGUGUCUGCUUCAUGGCUGGGAAUCACCGUCCUGCCACUCUGCAAGUUUCCAGCCUAUCAAAGAUGACAUGGAGCUAGCAAACUGUAAAGCUAAGCGCCUGCACUGUGGCUCUGAACUGCAUUCAGAAGGCAUUUGCUUCCAUUCUUGGAGCAGUAAUAGCACUUCAAGAGGUCACAGAGUACAUAGGCACUUUAAUCAUUUUGCAGAACCACCUUUAGAACAGAUAACUGCACAAGCCGUUGGACUGCCCAGCCAAUUGGCCUCAACCCUGUUCGGUGGGUUCUGUUCCCGAGGCAGAACGUUGAUUUGGCCUCCAUGCCCAUUUAAUCCUCCACAGCUCUGUUGUGAUGGCAACACAGGUAGCACGGUGAAUUCAUUUUUCCCCUACUGUUACUCACACCUUCUUGUCAACUGUUUGAAAUGGGCCAUCCUGAUUAUCACUACAAAUGUUUUUUUUUCUCCUGCUGAUAAUAGCCCACCUUAAUUGAUUGGUCUUGUUACAGUUGGUAUGGCAACACCCAUUUUUUCAUGUUCUCUGUGUAUAUGUAUCUUCCUACUGUAUUUUCCACUACAUGCAUCCAAUGAAGUGGGUUUUAGCCCACGAAAGCUUAUGCCUAAAUACAUUUGUUAGUCUCUAAGGUGCCACAAGGACUCCUCGGUUUUUUUGCUGUCCAACAUGGUUUCAUUCUAGGCAGCCAUCAGGGGAUGGCAACUCCUUGUCAUUACCAUCGUGGGUUAGAUUUGUACCAGUUGCUGUAGGAAGUAAAAAAGUUCGCUGUCUUGUCAGCAGUCCCCCUGAACUGAUGAACUUCCCCCGUUUCAUACCACAUAAAUCCUUCUUACAGGAGCACAAUGAUUAACCUUCAAAACCCUCCUCCCCUUGAAAGUUAGCUUUGGCUUGAAGCUUGGCUCAAAAAAUCAUAGCCUAGGAAGGAUUAUUUUUACCGCCUAAUUUUGAGGGGAGGGUCGGGAGAAUUAAUUGGUUUGUUAUAAGGCCUGAAUCUCAGCCCCACUGAACUCAGGGGCAGAACUCCCACUGAUUCCAGUGAGAGAAGGAUUUAGGGCCUGAGCUCCCAGGAAUCGCACCAUUUCGGAGGCUUCUGUUUUUUACACUCUUUAUGUCUAAUGCAAAAAUAAUUUUUUAAUCCCAAAAUUUGAAGGUCUCUAGUUCCUCACUUAGAAAAGCGCCUUUUGAAGUGAAAGGAAAGAAGAGGGGAAGAGGGAGGCUGAUUUUGAAGAAGCAAUACAUUGUUUCAGGGCUUGUGUGUUCCUUUAUUCUGCAGAGGAGUCCAGUCCGUAGGCUCAGUGCACAUUCCUGGGAGCCUGACUGCCAGCGAAGGUCUGCCAGGCCAAACCCCCCCCCCAAAAAAUAACCACAACCCACUUUUUGAAAAGUGCCCAGAGCUUGUAUUUACCAUCACACCCUAAUAGGAAAUAAUCCAUGUUUUCAAAUGAGCCUGCAUGCCCAAAUAUUUAUUUGCCAGUUAGAGCGUAAUGGCUCCCAAGCAGCUGUUCCGGAGUCUUUUGGGUACAACGUGUAAGUUAAGUUCUAUGUAGUUUGCAAUGUGUGUACACCAGAUGAAGUAUUUACCUGGAUAAUUUAAAUAAUAGGCCCUUGUAAAAGCCUGUUUGCAUACUUAAGCGGUCCUACAUGAGGGCUGGAUUCACUCCCUCCCCAAGACCCUCCAUGCAUGGAAUGGGGGUGCAGUGCAGUGGUUUUUCCAGAUAGUUCUCUGAGAAUAGAGGGAGGCGGGUAGGCCCAAGUCAAUAUUAUACUUCCAUGUCUCCCCUACAUCCAUAGCAGGGAGUCCCCCUGCUAAGAGGGUGGGUCUCAGGGUCAGCCAAGAAUCAGGAGGGGUGAGGUCACAAAGCUGACACGUAGAUACACGACGGCCGUGCAGAGGGCCCUGGUCUCUUGUGGAUACAGGAGAAUCUGCAGGGAUCCUGAGCUGGCCUCUGGCCCAUUCCCCAGUAGGGCAAAUCCAAUUCAGGAGGAAAUUCUCUGACAUUCCCUCAUACCCCCAUAGGUUGCCCUGCAGGAAAGAGCAAUGGUAUUCUGUGUGUUUCCCUAAGGAGAGUGGAACAGCUUUGAGAAAGUCUGACAGCUGUCCAUGGAAAUAUUUUUCUUUUAGUGUUCCUUUUUUUCCUUUUUAAAUGCAACCAAAUAGCACCAAGGGCCACGUAUGGUAUUGCACUUAGUCUGCAUGCACAUGUCCUGACACCGGACUGCAGUUUGUAAGGGACAUCAACAAAAUCUGUAAAGCUCACAGCCAGGGCUGGUAUUUCCUCUUUCACUCAUAUCGUCAGGCCUUUUUCUCACAAUGGCUGGAGUCAAGGACGUGGUGUCUGUCUUAUCUUUGAAUUUCCUGGUUUUUGUCAGUGAGAGUGUCACAAUGGCAAUGUUAUUAGCUCAGCUGUGUGGAUAGCAACACAAAGAUUUUGCUAGUGCUCUCUGAGGCUUAUUAGAAAAGGCUGCUUAUACAAUGUGAUGUGAUUGCUUGUACACCUUUCCCUGUGUUCUUCCUUCCCCUUUGAUGAUGUUAUAAUGAAGCUGCUUUCAUAGGAUCAGGGAUCACGAUAGACUCUUAAAGUGAAGACAUUUGCUUCGCCCUCCCUCCGCCCUGGUGACAGUUUUACUAUAUAAGCAGGGCUUUGCUGGCAGUGGAAUUGCAAUUUGCACACGGUAAGUGUAAUCAAAACAAAUUUCAUUCUGACUCAUUACAGAUGGAGUUUUACUGCAUAGGAAUUCACUGUUGGCCAGUUGCAUUCUAUAGCUCAGAUCAAAAACUGUGUCCUGUCUGUAAUCAGAGAGUGCUGUAAAUUGAGCGUCCCAUACUAUACAAGCUGAGCUGCAGAGAGAUAAUGCAAGUUCAAUAGCUUCUUAGACAGAUCGAGCUCUUGAUAACUGUGAAUUGUCUGCUUCAGAGCGUUCCAGUGUUGCCAAUAGGGAAUCAUCCACCCUUUCUCACUCUGUGAAGCUGACUCUGCUGCUGUAAUGAUAGAAGCUGUGGCCUGGAAAAGCUCCACACUGAUUCACAGAGGAAUCAAGGCUGUCAGGCUGGGUGGUUGAGGCUUAGAGAGGCUGUUCCUACAAUAUGGAGAACCUUCUUCCAGAAGGUGCCUCCAACCAACAGCUUGAAGACUUAAAGGAAAUUUGACACUUCUAGAUGGUGUGACCCAGCAAGGGGAAGAAAUGGAAGCUGUGGGGAAGCAUGAAAUUGACUUCUCCAAAGACUUACCACAAGGAGCAAAGAAAGAGUUUCUACCACAUGAGAGUCUGACAAGAAAAGCCAUUUGCCACUGAAAUCUUAAAAAAAUGUAUUUAACAAUUAUGAA